UGGGGAAUCUUGGACAAUGGGCGCAAGCCUGAUCCAGCCAUGCCGCGUGAGUGAAGAAGGCCUUCGGGUUGUAAAGCUCUUUUACCAGGGACGAUAAUGACGGUACCCGCAGAAUAAGCCCCGGCUAACUUCGUGCCAGCAGCCGCGGUAAUACGAAGGGGGCUAGCGUUGUUCGGAAUUACUGGGCGUAAAGCGCACGUAGGCGGAUCUAUAAGUCAGGGGUGAAAUCCCGGGGCUCAACCUCGGAACUGCCUUUGAUACUGUAGAUCUCGAGUCCGGAAGAGGUGAGUGGAAUUCCUAGUGUAGAGGUGAAAUUCGUAGAUAUUAGGAAGAACACCAGUGGCGAAGGCGGCUCACUGGUCCGGUACUGACGCUGAGUGCGAAAGCGUGGGGAGCAAACAGAAUUAGAUACCCAUGUAGUCCCUGAGCGGGCUGGCAAGGCGCAU
rnacentral:rRNA from 1 species